UACGUAGGUGGCAAGCGUUGUCCGGAAUUAUUGGGCGUAAAGCGCGCGCAGGCGGUCCUUUAAGUCUGAUGUGAAAGCCCACGGCUCAACCGUGGAGGGUCAUUGGAAACUGGGGGACUUGAGUGCAGAAGAGGAAAGCGGAAUUCCACGUGUAGCGGUGAAAUGCGUAGAUAAUCGGGAGGAACACCAGUGGCGAAGGCGACUUCCUGGCCUGUUCUUGACGCUGAGGCGCGAAAGCUAGGGGGACGCAAACGGG
rnacentral:rRNA from 1 species